UUAACUAUGGUACUUUUCUUGUCCCUGGAUGAAAUAAUAAAAACUAAAAAACAUUUCUUCUUUUUUGUUUUUGUCAUACUUACUCCACCCUAAGGGGAACUUAUAAAAAAUGUAUCAUGGCUCAAUCAUUCUUUUUAUUAUAUAAUACGAGGCCUUUUAUGCAUGGUUUUUACUGUUUUCCCUCUGUCCCUAAGCCAGACUUUGUAUCUUCAACCUCGCUUAAUUCUAAAUUAAAUAUUUAAAUAAUGUAGAUUUCAAGUACAAAUGAUAAAAUACCAUUUAUUUCAAUUCUACAUAUUAUAUAUUGUGAUACAUAUUCACAUUUUCCUAUAUUUUUCAUAAAUAGAACCCUUGUCCCUUGGGGUCACUGUCAUUUCCACCACACUGUACAAAAUAGAAUCCUGGGAUCAGUGUUUUAGGUUUGUAUAUUUAGUAACCAUAGCAACAGAAACUCCACAGUGGAACACAUGGCUGGAUGAAAUGGUGUCCUCUACAGGGGGUAAUGAAAAGAAGAAAAAUCAAGAUGGCAAGCAAUACCACAGCACAGAGGUCAAGAUCAUACAGAGAAAGAAUAAAAUCAGAUCCACUUAAAUAUGCAGAGUCCCUCAAGAAGGACAGAGAAAGAUACCUGAAGAAAAAGCAACAAGGUGUUGUUAAAUCUGUGACAGAAAUGCCGAAAAGAGAACAACGAAAAAUGAGAAGACAGUGGCGAAUUUCUCAAUGAAACAGACGUAGGAAAUGGAAAAUGGUCUCAGCAGUGAAUAGUUUCAUGGCACAUACAACACCACCACCAUCACCAGACAACAUGAGUGUUAAUGCAGAAGACAUCCCUGAAACACCUCAGCUGUGUGAGCCUACACCAGAGAGAACUCCACAGAGGAAAAGAGGGAGAAAAAAGGUUGCGAAGGCAAAAGCAAAGGUGUA